ensembl:lncRNA
GAGGGGCCACCCCUGAGAAGGGACACAGAGUGGGGAUCAGAUUUGGUGAGGAAAGUGCCAAGCUCAUGCUUGGCCCCGGGAGUGAGCGGCGGCUGUGGGACGUCCAGGAGGAAGGCUGACAGAGUGCAGGCCAACGGAUCCAUAGCCUAGAGCUCAAGACGGAAAGGAGAGUGGGGAGGCAGUGCCUGGGCCAGCAGUGGCAGCCAUGGAGAGCCUGAGACCGCCACCCCCAGGGUCACCCUUAGAUCUGAACGGUACCCACCUCCCGCGUCAGCCGGGCCUUCCGGGCAGAGAUCCAGCCCAUCAGCCAGAGCAGCGGCCAAACAAACCUGAACAGAGACAGCGCCACUGACCCCGCUCGGCAAGAAGCACAGACCCUUUUGCGGCGGACGAAUCCACAGGCCAGCCUUUCCCAGCCGGCAACGGGCAGGUAAUCGAUAAGCCUGAUGAAUAAUUAACUUUUUAAUUAAAUAUCAAUUUAAAACAAGUAUGGGGAGCGGUCCCUUGCAAUUAAUGUCCCUGCUCUCCUUCUCUUAAGGGACUCCGUCGGAGGCCCCGGCUCCGGGGCCACAUGGCUGGAGGGCCGCGCCAGAGUGGGGCAGGGACCCGGGUACGGUCGGCUUCUCCCCCUCCGCUAGCCACAGGGACCCUUGGGACACCAGCCCCGUCUCCUUUGGCCAUGCGGGGGAAGACUGUCUCCACUCAGUGGUCGCUACCGAGCUCUCGAGACAGAGCAAAACGCAGCGAGAGGAAACCAUUACAGGCUCCUUCCCUGAGAAAUCCCGAAGAAAGCGAGAGCCCUGGAUUGCCAAGGAAGAGACGUGGAAACAAGAUGGUGCACAUCUUGCCUGCAACUGGAGGCCUGUGCACCCGCCCCCCCUCCGCUACUCCCAAGGGGGUGUCCCCACUCCAUCCACUUGAGUUCUGGCAGGCCUGAUGAUGGAAACAGGGGUCUGCAGACCUCAGCCCCUGGGCUGCCGGGCAUCUGUCUCCAAGAGAGAAGACCCACUCAGGGGCAUCAGAGGCUGGCUGUCCGGCCAACCUGGGAUCGGGGCACACCCCUCUUCCUCCUGUCUGGCGAGCCCAAGCAACUCCCUUCCACCACGAGGCCUCAGCUUCCCCUCCCGUGAGAUGGGGUGAGGAUCCCCACCCGUCGGAGCCACCUUUGCAUGCUAUGGAGGGCAGCCACUGUCCACAGCAUAUCGUUUUGUGGACAAAGCAAGGGCUGUUAUGACAUGGGUAAAAUGAUGCCCCUUUUGGUUAAAAAGGAAAAAUCUACACACGCACAGUACAGCUUUCCAAAACGUUGGCCAUGGGCCUCGGGAAACUGCCCUCAGUGGAAACUCUGGGGAGCCAAUUGAGCGGUGUGUCUAUGGGGGUGUUUUUAUUUUAUAUUCUAGACGUUUUUUACUUGUUGUAAUAAGCACGAGCUGUAAAAAGAAAUUUCGGGUUUGUCCUACGAACUUGUCCGUAAAGAAUUGCCAAGUACGUAGAGGGUGCCGGGAGUCUUUAAAGCUGUUCCGAAAUACUGCUUCUCACUGAAGCCUCUGGCUGGGGUCAGCCUCAGCCGAAUCACCCACGGCCAUGCCGAGCACUUUAGGUGGAGACACCUGUCCAUGGGGUCAGGAGAGAAAAGGGCAAGUCUGAGCAACAAAAGCCCCACAGAAGGACAAAUACUGCAUGAUUCCACUUCCGCGAGGUCCCUGGAGUCGCCAAAGUCGCAAAGACAGUGAGUGGAGUAGUGGGUGCAGGGGCUGGGGGAGGGGGACAGGGAGUUAGUGUUUAACGGGGACAGAGUUUCAGUUUGGAGAGAUGCAGAAGUCUGGAGACGGAUGGUUGGGGACGGCUGCACGACAGUGUGAGUAUACUCGGUAUCACUGAACUGGACACUUAAAAUGGUUAAAAUGGUAAAUUCUGUGUUAUGUAUAUUUCACAAUGACAGGUAGGUAGGUAGGUAGGUAGACAGAUAACAAAUAAUCAUCCAUUGUGGAUAAAAGAGGAAUGUGGGAGGUGGUAAGGAGGAGGCUGGAAUUCGGGGUCUCAGCAGGUGUUGGGACUUUGUCCUGGGUCUUGAAGAGGGGUUUGGAGACCUCCACCUGCGGGUAUACUGGGAGGUUCCCAUUUGUCCCCAAGUCGGAGGAGAUACAGGUAUUUUCCUAUGAGCCACUUUGGGGAGUUUGGACUUUAGACUUCCAGCAACAGAUGAUGGUAGAAUGAUCAUGGCCUUCAGGAAGGAACAAAGUGCCUUGUUUUUUUCUGAGGGCUGGGGCAGGGGGGUGACAAGGUCAAAGGAGUUGUCCCUGGAGGGCCACCUCCGGCAGGCUGGGGCUGGCGGCCCAGAGCCCAGGGAGGAGGCUAGGGCAGUGGUUCCUUCCUAGAAUCCACCAGGGACCUCCCCGGGUUAGCACACAGUGGGUGGACAGAUCUGAAGUCUGACCCUGCUGCAGAGAAUGAAGAAGGCAGCAUUCCUGAGGCCCUUGUGAGCUGGGCACUGGACGGGACAGAGAGUGACACUCACCUCUGCUGGUCUGAUGCAGACGCAGGACCAAACAGUGGCAGACAGUAAGGGAAGGGCAAUCAGGAGGUCCUCACGGGCUGAGGUCUGAGAUGCCACAGGAAAUUGCUGUCUUAAAAUUGCCGAUUCGAGGGGCAUCUGGGUGGCUCAGUCGGUUGGCCGUCUGACUUCGGCUCAGGUCAUGAUCUCACGGUCCGUGAGUUCGAGCCCCACGUCGCACUCUGUGCUGACAGCUCAGAGCCUGGAGCCUGCUUCGGAUUCUGGGUCUCCCUCUCUCUCUGCCCCUCCCCCGCUCGCACUCUGUCUCUGUAUCUCUCAAAAAUAAAUAAACGUCAGAAAAAAAAAAAAUUAAAAUC